rnacentral:rRNA from 1 species
CUACAUGAAGCUGGAAUCGCUAGUAAUCGCGAAUCAGAAUGUCGCGGUGAAUACGUUCCGGGUCUUGUACACACCGCCCGUCACACCAUGGGAGUCGGUAACGCCCGAAGCCUGUGACCCAACCUAAUAGGAGGGAGCAGUCGAAGGUGGGACCGGUGACUGGGGUGAAGUCGUAACAAGGUAUC